GAUGAACGCUGGCGGCGUGCCUAAUACAUGCAAGUCGAGCGAACGGACGAGAAGCUUGCUUCUCUGAUGUUAGCGGCGGACGGGUGAGUAACACGUGGAUAACCUACCUAUAAGACUGGGAUAACUUCGGGAAACCGUAGCUAAUACCGGAUAAUAUUUUGAACCGCAUGGUUCAAAAGUGAAAGACGGUCUCGCUGUCACUUAUAGAUGGAUCCGCGCUGCAUUAGCUAGUUGGUAAGGUAACGGCUUACCAAGGCAACGAUGCAUAGCCGACCUGAGAGGGUGAUCGGCCACACUGGAACUGAGACACGGUCCAGACUCCUACGGGAGGCAGCAGUAGGGAAUCUUCCGCACUGGGCGAAAGCCUGACGGAGCAACGCCGCGUGAGUGAUGAAGGUCUUCGGAUCGUAAAACUCUGUUAUUAGGGAAGAACAUAUGUGUAAGUAACUGUGCACAUCUUGACGGUGCCUAAUCAGAAAGCCACGGCUAACUACGUG
rnacentral:rRNA from 1 species